AGUGGCGGACGGGUGAGUAACGCGUGAGAAUCUGCCUUGGGGUCGGGGACAACCACUGGAAACGGUGGCUAAUACCGGAUAAGCCGAUUGGUGAAAGAUUUAUUGCCCGAAGAGGAGCUCGCGUCUGAUUAGCUAGUUGGUGAGGUAAGAGCUCACCAAGGCAGCGAUCAGUAGCUGGUCUGAGAGGACGAUCAGCCACACUGGGACUGAGACACGGCCCAGACUCCUACGGGAGGCAGCAGUGGGGAAUUUUCCGCAAUGGGCGAAAGCCUGACGGAGCAAGACCGCGUGAGGGAGGAAGGCUCUUGGGUUGUAAACCUCUUUUCUCAGGGAAGAAGCUCUGACGGUACCUGAGGAAUCAGCCUCGGCUAACUCCGUGCCAGCAGCCGCGGUAAUACGGAGGAGGCAAGCGUUAUCCGGAAUUAUUGGGCGUAAAGCGUCCGCAGGUGGCGAUUCAAGUCUGCUGUCAAAGCACGGGGCUUAACUCCGUAAAGGCAGUGGAAACUGAAUAGCUAGAGUGCCGUAGGGGUAGAGGGAAUUCCCGGUGUAGCGGUGAAAUGCGUAGAGAUCGGGAAGAACAUCGGUCGCGAAAGCGCUCUACUGGACGGCAACUGACACUCAGGGACGAAAGCUAGGGGAGCGAAUGGGAUUAGAUACCCC
rnacentral:rRNA from 1 species